AUUGAACGCUGGCGGCAGGCUUAACACAUGCAAGUCGAGCGAGCGGCGGACGGGUGAGUAAUGUCUGGGAAACUGCCUGAUGGAGGGGGAUAACUACUGGAAACGGUAGCUAAUACCGCAUACCAUCAGAUGUGCCCAGAUGGGAUUAGCUAGUCGGUGGGGUAAUGGCUCACCUAGGCGACGAUCCCUAGCUGGUCUGAGAGGAUGACCGGCCACACUGUAACUGGGACACGGUCCAGACUGCUACGGUAGGCAGCAGUGGGGAAUAUUGCACAAUGGGCGCAAGCCUGAUGCAGGCAGUCCGCGUGUGUUAAGAAGGCCUUCGGGUUGUAAAUCACUUUCAGCGAGGAGGCGUUACUCGCAGAAGAAGCACCGGCUAACUCCGUGCCAGCAGCCGCGGUAAUUC
rnacentral:rRNA from 1 species